AGUAGUGAGAGACAAUCCCUUGAGUUAUCUUUUCCCCCAAGAGAUCCAAAACUGCCUGACCUAGCCUAUCAGUUUCCACAGCUUUCAGUUCUCUCUCACACACACCCUCCAAACUGCUCUUUCCUCUCCAAACUCCAAAACCGAACUGCUCUCUUCAAACCCUAAAACAGCACUCUCUGGACCUCUUUUUUCUCUCUGCACUCUAGGACUUGGCUCCUCCCAUCUGCUCUGGCUGGCCAAUCCUAGGAGUCUCUCUCUAAGUUCCUCCCCCUUUCUAACCACACUCAAGAUGGCUGCCUGGCAUUCCUCAACAAAAUGAAUGUCUGCCUCACUCACUGUUACCAAGGCUUCAUUCCAGGUCUAACAGGGAUGUGAAGGAAUUACUCUGCCAACCUCAGAUGGAGACAGAAUGAAAGAGUACCUUAGAGUUGUAGCUAAAAUGCAGAUAAAGAAGACAUCCCCCUAUGUAAAAAAGCUUCCUGUGUUUCCUCGUCUCUGCCAUCUCCUCUAAUGCACAAAAACAGGAUUUGAGUUUUUUGAGAAGUCUCCUGCAGCUAAUCCAUUGCUUCAAAGUCAUUAAAAAGUGGGAUAUCACAGACAUCACUAUGGUGAUAAGUCAGUCAGAUGCAUAAGAAAAGCAAGCUAGUGCAUUUGGAAAGAAUUUUAUACUUGAGGAAAAUUGUGUUUCAAACGUUGAAGUACUAUGUUUUUUUCCAGCAACAAAAUCCUAAAAGCACCCUUUCUUCACCGUAACAGUGCCUUGUGUGGGGUGCACCAUUUUGUACUCCAGCUUCCUCUUCUGGCGAGAGACAAACUCAGAAACGACUGAAUCAGCAACUAUGGGAAAUGGGAGCACAUUCCUCAAAUAAUCUUCACAGUUCAGUCAUAUAAUGAUACAGGGAUCAGAAUCCUGUUGCUGGGUUGUGCCAAUGUGAUACUGGCACAAGGGGCUUUUCACAAUAGUGUGUAUGGGGAUGGUUCGCUAUCUUGGCAGGGGGUUGGACUGGGUGGCCCGUGAGGUCUCUUCCAACUCUAUGAUUCUAUGAUUAAGGUACAGUACUUAUAUUGAACUGAGGAUAAGUCAGCCCAGGGUUUUAGAUUAAUUUUUUAAGACUAAAAUUUCUCAACCUAUGCAUGAAUAAAGGGUAAAUGUAAGGAACCGUCUAACCAGAAGCAGCCUAGAAGUCUUAAGAGUUCAGACUACACUUCCAUAGUCACUAAAGCAAACAGAAGUCUGUUAGCACUUUAAAGACUAACAAAUAUUAUUUGGCAUAAGCUUCUGUGGACUGGAACACACUUAGUCAGAUCCAUGGCACAUUGCCUCACUUGGCAGAGUAUUAUGCACCUGUUUGAAUGAGUGUGUGGGGGUUUGUAACCAGUGGAGUCAAAGGGAAAUGAAAUACAAAGCUACGGUGAUCUUUAUCUCAAGAGAGACUCUUAACUCACUGGCCAAGAUCCUAUUUUGCCCAGUAUCAUGUAAGAAUUCAGCAGGGGGAACUCCACCCUGGCUCCUUGCUCACUGCUACCCAGAACACACGGUUUUGCCUUUCUUUGAGUGGUGGAGUGAGUUAGGAUGGAACAGAGACGCAUCAGGUUAUGUCCUGGAGCCAGACGCAGGCUCAUAACAUCUUUUACAAUAUCUGCCAGGAUGUCAGCAGAGCACAUCAUCAGUCUGUGUCUGGCUACAGGGACACAGCCAGACACUUCUCUGUUCACAUACACCGUCUCCAUUGGCCAUGGAACAGCUGUUCGUGGAGACUAUUGCAGCAAAACUAUUGAGGUACCUUUGGUCAUUGCAAACAAUGGAAGAGGAAAUAAUUAAAUAUACGCAGGUGUAAUGUGAAGUUAUGCUUGUAUAUGCACUAAUAGGAUGUCAGCCAUGGCUUGUUAAUGACCAUUAAAAGAUUCACUGUUUGUACUUCUA